rnacentral:lncRNA from 1 species
GUGGACCAAUUGCACUCACAUCCACUAGAGGAGACUGUUUGGGAGAGGAUCCGGAUAGCUAUCCGCUUUAGAUUUCUCACGGAUCCGCCAAAAUGCACCCACCAUUCAGCUGCAAAAAUAUUUAUGAAAAUUACAUAUAUGAUAGUUCCAUAAUAGUAACUAAGUAACACCAGGUGAAUGUUUUCCUGAUGUGUCACGUACCUGGAUUCAUAUUGUGUUUG